AAAAGACGUACGACAUUGAAAAGUUUUUCUUGACAAAAUCAUUCAUAUGGACGUAUAACACCUCCAGAGGAGCUGCCAGGACCUGCCAAGUGGACAGAGUCACGCAUAUAAACGAUACUACAGUUACGUUCAAGCGCUACUUCUACAACGUUUUUCAUAGGAAGACAAUGAUUCCAUUGGAGGGAACAUUGUAUUUUGACAGAAAAGACCUAUUGAUUGUUCGUGCGCCAGGUUACAAGUAUAAGGAGGAACUUGUAUUUUAUGAUGCCCACUUUAAAUGCGCCGUGAUUAAAAUAACAACGCCUUAUAGAGGUGGGGUUGUGACGCAUGACUUGCGCGUUUGGAACGCUUACAUGAAGUUUGGCCCGGCGUCUGACU